rnacentral:rRNA from 1 species
GACGACGGGUAGCCGACCUGAGAGGGUGACCGGCCACACUGGGACUGAGACACGGCCCAGACUCCUACGGGAGGCAGCAGUGGGGAAUAUUGCACAAUGGGCGAAAGCCUGAUGCAGCGACGCCGCGUGAGGGAUGACGGCCUUCGGGUUGUAAACCUCUUUCAGCAGGGACGAAGCGCAAGUGACGGUACCUGCAGAAGAAGCACCGGCUAACUACGUGCCAGCAGCCGCGGUAAUACGUAGGGUGCAAGCGUUGUCCGGAAUUACUGGGCGUAAAGAGUUCGUAGGCGGUUUGUCGCGUCGUUUGUGAAAACCAGCAGCUCAACUGCUGGCUUGCAGGCGAUACGGGCAGACUUGAGUACUGCAGGGGAGACUGGAAUUCCUGGUGUAGCGGUGAAAUGCGCAGAUAUCAGGAGGAACACCGGUGGCGAAGGCGGGUCUCUGGGCAGUAACUGACGCUGAGGAACGAAAGCGUGGGUAGCGAACAGGAUUAGAUACCCUGGUAGUCCACGCCGUAAACGGUGGGCGCUAGGUGUGGGUUCCUUCCACGGAAUCCGUGCCGUAGCUAACGCAUUAAGCGCCCCGCCUGGGGAAGUACGGA